rnacentral:tRNA from 5 species
GCUAUUUUGACAGAAAAAUGUGAUGAUUUUAGAAGUCAUAAAUAUAUAAUUUAUUAUAUAUAUAGUA